GGUGGCGAGUGGCGAACGGGUGAGUAAAGCAUCGGAACGAAUCCGGGAGUGGGGGAUAACGUAGCGAAAGUUACGCUAAUACCGCAUAUUCUCUGAGGAGGAAAGAGGGGGAUCGCAAGACCUCUUGCUUUCGGAGCGGCCGAUGUCGGAUUAGCUAGUUGGUGGGGUAAAGGCCCACCAAGGCGACGAUCCGUAGCGGGUCUGAGAGGAUGAUCCGCCACACUGGGACUGAGACACGGCCCAGACUCCUACGGGAGGCAGCAGUGGGGAAUUUUGGACAAUGGGGGCAACCCUGAUCCAGCCAUGCCGCGUGAGUGAAGAAGGCCUUCGGGUUGUAAAGCUCUUUCGGCGGGGAAGAAAUCGCGCUGGAUAAUACCUGGUGUGGAUGACGGUACCCGAAUAAGAAGCACCGGCUAACUACGUGCCAGCAGCCGCGGUAAUACGUAGGGUGCGAGCGUUAAUCGGAAUUACUGGGCGUAAAGCGUGCGCAGGCGGUUGUGCAAGACAGGCGUGAAAUCCCCGGGCUUAACCUGGGAAUGGCGCUUGUGACUGCACGACUAGAGUACGGCAGAGGGGGGUGGAAUUCCACGUGUAGCAGUGAAAUGCGUAGAGAUGUGGAGGAACACCGAUGGCGAAGGCAGCCCCCUGGGCCAGUACUGACGCUCAUGCACGAAAGCGUGGGGAGCAAACAGGAUUAGAUACCCUGGUAGUCCACGCCCUAAACGAUGUCAACUAGGUGUUGGGUGGGUAAAACCAUUUAGUACCGAAGCUAACGCGUGAAGUUGACCGCCUGGGGAGUACGGCCGCAAGGUUAAAACUCGAAGGAAUUGACGGGGACCCGCACAAGCGGUGGAUGAUGUGGAUUAAUUCGAUGCAACGCGAAAAACCUUACCUACCCUUGACAUGUCAGGAAUCCCGCUGAGAGGUGGGAGUGCCCGAAAGGGAGCCUGAACACAGGUGCUGCAUGGCUGUCGUCAGCUCGUGUCGUGAGAUGUUGGGUUAAGUCCCGCAACGAGCGCAACCCUUGUCAUUAAUUGCCAUCAUUAAGUUGGGCACUUUAAUGAGUCUGCCGGUGACAAACCGGAGGAAGGUGGGGAUGACGUCAAGUCCUCAUGGCCCUUAUGGGUAGGGCUUCACACGUCAUACAAUGGUCGGUACAGAGGGUUGCCAAGCCGCGAGGUGGAGCCAAUCCCAGAAAGCCGAUCGUAGUCCGGAUCGUAGUCUGCAACUCGACUGCGUGAAGUCGGAAUCGCUAGUAAUCGCGGAUCAGCAUGUCGCGGUGAAUACGUUCCCGGGUCUUGUACACACCGCCCGUCACACCAUGGGAGCGGGUUCUGCCAGAAAUAGCUAGUCUAACCGCAAGGGGGACGGUUACCACGGCAGGGUUCGUGACUGGGGUGAAGUCGUAACAAGGUA
rnacentral:rRNA from 1 species